rnacentral:rRNA from 1 species
AUGAACGGGCUCACGUCCAACCCAUGGCACGACUUCAGCGACGUUCUGAUCCCGCUCUUCAUCACCACUCGCGCCUAUGAUGGCGAGAUCCAGUUCCUCGUCACCGAUCUCCGGCCGUGGUUUGUGGACAAGUACCACCUCAUCCUCACCAACCUGUCACGCUACGACAUCAUCGACUUCAACAAGGACACUGGUGUCCGGUGCUACCCACACAUCAUAGUCGGCCUACGCAGCCACGGCGACCUCAGCAUUGACCCGGCCCGCGCGCCGCACAACUACACAAUGCUGGACUUCCGCAUGUACAUCCGAGACGUCUUCUCACUGCCGCCGGAAGGCCAAGGAAUCCCGUACAAGGAGACUAACAAGAAGAACAAAAACGGUGGCACUAGCACGGAGGAACAAAAGCCGCGCCUCAUGCUCAUCAACCGCGCCGGGAUCAGGAAGUUCGUCAACCUUCCAGAGAUCUCCGCGGCGGUGCAGGCCGCCGGGUUCGAGGUGCUGGUCGUGGAGCCGCUCCGUGACAUGAGCCUCGAGGAUUUCUCUCGGCAGGUGGACUCAUGCGACGUGCUGAUGGGAGCGCACGGGGCCGCGCUCACAAGCUUCUUCUUCCUCCGCACCAACGCGGUCAUGCUACAGGUGGUGCCAUGGGGCUUAGAGAGGGAGGCCAUGAGUUACUUCGGCGUGCAUGCCAAGAACAUGAUGUUGCAGGACAUCGAGUACAGCAUCACCGUCGAGGAGAGCACGCUGUAUGAGAAGUAUGGCAAAUACCACCUGGCGGUACGUGACCCAGAGGCCCUACGUAAGCAGGGGUGGCAGUUGUUAAGGCAGUACUUGUGGGACGAGCAGGACAUCAGGCUCAACGUCACCAGAUUUUCUUUGACUCUACACCAGCUGCUUCGAACGCUCGGUGAAUAG